rnacentral:rRNA from 1 species
UACGGAGGUGGCAAGCGUUGCUCGGAAUCACUGGGCGUAAAGGGCGCGUAGGCGGUCCAGCAAGUCGGGUGUGAAAGCCCUCGGCUUAACCGAGGAAGUGCAUUCGAAACUACUGGACUUGAAUACUGGAGAGGAUCGCGGAAUUCCCGGUGUAGAGGUGAAAUUCGUAGAUAUCGGGAGGAACACCAGUGGCGAAGGCGGCGAUCUGGACAGAUAUUGACGCUGAUGUACGAAAGCGUGGGGAGCAAACAGG